GACGAACGCUGGCGGCGUGCUUAACACAUGCAAGUCGAACGGAAAGGCCCUGCUUUUGUGGGGUGCUCGAGUGGCGAACGGGUGAGUAACACGUGAGUAACCUGCCCUUGACUUUGGGAUAACUUCAGGAAACUGGGGCUAAUACCGGAUAGGAGCUCCUGCUGCAUGGUGGGGGUUGGAAAGUUUCGGCGGUUGGGGAUGGACUCGCGGCUUAUCAGCUCGUUGGUGGGGUAGUGGCUUACCAAGGCUUUGACGGGUAGCCGGCCUGAGAGGGUGACCGGCCACAUUGGGACUGAGAUACGGCCCAGACUCCUACGGGAGGCAGCAGUGGGGAAUAUUGCACAAUGGGCGGAAGCCUGAUGCAGCAACGCCGCGUGCGGGAUGACGGCCUUCGGGUUGUAAACCGCUUUCGCCUGUGACGAAGCGUGAGUGACGGUAAUGGGUAAAGAAGCACCGGCUAACUACGUGCCAGCAGCCGCGGUGAUACGUAGGGUGCGAGCGUUGUCCGGAUUUAUCGGGCGUAAAGGGCUCGUAGGUGGUUGAUCGCGUCGGAAGUGUAAUCUUGGGGCUUAACCCUGAGCGUGCUUUCGAUACGGGUUGACUUGAGGAAGGUAGGGGAGAAUGGAAUUCCUGGUGGAGCGGUGGAAUGCGCAGAUAUCAGGAGGAACACCAGUGGCGAAGGCGGUUCUCUGGGCCUUUCCUGACGCUGAGGAGCGAAAGCGUGGGGAGCGAACAGGCUUAGAUACCCUGGUAGUCCACGCUGUAAACGGUGGGUACUAGGUGUGGGGUCCAUUCCACGGGUUCCGUGCCGUAGCUAACGCUUUAAGUACCCCGCCUGGGGAGUACGGCCGCAAGGCUAAAACUCAAAGGAAUUGACGGGGCCCCGCACAAGCGGCGGAGCAUGCGGAUUAAUUCGAUGCAACGCGUAGAACCUUACCUGGGUUUGACAUGGAUCGGGAGUGCUCAGAGAUGGGUGUGCCUCUUUUGGGGUCGGUUCACAGGUGGUGCAUGGCUGUCGUCAGCUCGUGUCGUGAGAUGUUGGGUUAAGUCCCGCAACGAGCGCAACCCUUGUUCACUGUUGCCAGCACGUUAUGGUGGGGACUCAGUGGAGACCGCCGGGGUCAACUCGGAGGAAGGUGGGGAUGACGUCAAGUCAUCAUGCCCCUUAUGUCCAGGGCUUCACGCAUGCUACAAUGGCUGGUACAGAGAGUGGCGAGCCUGUGAGGGUGAGCGAAUCUCGGAAAGCCGGUCUCAGUUCGGAUUGGGGUCUGCAACUCGACCUCAUGAAGUCGGAGUCGCUAGUAAUCGCAGAUCAGCAACGCUGCGGUGAAUACGUUCCCGGGGCU
rnacentral:rRNA from 1 species